rnacentral:rRNA from 1 species
UACGUAGGGUGCGAGCGUUGUCCGGAAUUACUGGGCGUAAAGAGCUCGUAGGUGGUUUGUCGCGUUGUUCGUGAAAACUCACAGCUUAAACUGUGGGCGUGCGGGCGAUACGGGCAGACUGGAGUACUGCAGGGGAGACUGGAAUUCCCGGUGUAGCGGUGAAAUGCGCAGAUAUCAGGAGGAACACCGGUGGCGAAGGCGGGUCUCUGGGCAAUAACUGACGCUGAGGAGCGAAAGCGUGGGGAGCGAACAGG